CAGUGGAGAGGCAUCCUGGCUGGUCUGCGGGUGAGAGCUGAUGAGCAGGAGAAACUCGUGGGGGCUGUCAGAUUUGGCCAGAGACAGAUGCUCCAACAGGCAGAUACUGUGACUGUCAGUCGGAAGCCAUUGGCGUUUGCCAGACAGUGGAAGGAGAGGGUCAGUUCGUCGUGCUCUUGGCCGGGGGCAGGCAGGCAACCUGUCGUGCCUUUAAGGACCUUUGGGUGAUUAGAGACAGGCAGGCAGCUUGCCGCCUGGAAAUGAUCAAGUGGUCAGCCUGACCAAAUUCAGGACAGCUGAAGGGUCUGACUGGGCACUGUGUGACUGGUGGGUUGGAGGCUGUCGUGUGGCUGAGCAGAGAUGGCCA
rnacentral:lncRNA from 1 species